rnacentral:rRNA from 1 species
UACAGAGGGGGCAAGCGUUGUUCGGAAUUACUGGGCGUAAAGCGCACGUAGGCGGAUCGUUAAGUCGGGGGUGAAAUCCUGGAGCUCAACUCCAGAACUGCCUUCGAUACUGGCGAUCUCGAGUUCGGGAGAGGUGAGUGGAACUGCGAGUGUAGAGGUGAAAUUCGUAGAUAUUCGCAAGAACACCGGUGGCGAAGGCGGUUCUCUGGGCCUUACCUGACGCUGAGGAGCGAAAGCAUGGGGAGCAAACAGG